UUGAACGCUGGCGGCAUGCCUUACACAUGCAAGUCGAACGGUAGAGGGGCGAACCCUUGAGAGUGGCGAACGGGUGAGUAAUAUAUCGGAACGUGCCCAGUCGUGGGGGAGUAACGCAGCGAAAGCUGCGCUAAUACCGCAUACGAUCUAUGGAUGAAAGCGGGGGAUCGCAAGACCUCGCGCGAUUGGAGCGGCCGAUAUCAGAUUAGGUAGUUGGUGGGGUAAAAGCCCACCAAGCCGACGAUCUGUAGCUG
rnacentral:rRNA from 1 species